rnacentral:rRNA from 1 species
AUUGAACGCUGGCGGCAGGCCUAACACAUGCAAGUCGAACGAGUGGCGGACGGGUGAGUAAUGUCUGGGAAACUGCCUGAUGGAGGGGGAUAACUACUGGAAACGGUAGCUAAUACCGCAUACCAUCGGAUGUGCCCAGAUGGGAUUAGCUAGUAGGUGGGGUAAAGGAUCACCUAGGCGACGAUCCCUAGCUGGUCUGAGAGGCUGACCAGCCACACUGGAACUGAGACACGGGCCAGCCUCCGACGGGAGGCAGCAGGGGUGAAGAUUGCACAAUGGGCGCAAGCCGGAUGCAGCGAUGCCGCGUGUAUGAAGAAGGCCUUCGGGUGGUAAAGUACUUUCAGCGGGGAGGCGUUACCCGCAGAAGAAGCACCGGCUAACUCCGUGCCAGCAGCCGCGGUAAUAC